AUGAAUCUCCGUGUUGUUUCCCAGGGUUCCCUCUAUACCCUGGCUGUUGAACCCGAUCUCGUGGGCACCAUAAAGACAAUGCAGGGAUUUGACUCUGAAGUCUACAAGAUUAAGCAAGACCUCAAAGAAGGAAGUCCCUCAUCCUUCACCAUUGCUGAUGAUGGCGCCUUGUACUUCAAAGGCCGCCUAGUGGUGCCGUGUAAGAAGGAAAACCUGAAUAUGACACAGGAGGUUAUGAAAGAAGCUCAUGAUACGCCUCUAUGUAUCCAUCCUGGUAGUACAAAGAUGUACCAAGACAUCCGCCAGAGAUUCUGGUGGUCUAACAUGAAGCAAGACAUUGCUUGUUAUGUUGCUGAAUGUGACGUUUGCCGUCGUAUCAAAGAAGAACAUCAAAGGCCUGGUGGAACUCUGCAACCUAUAUCUAUUCCUGAAUGGAAAUGGGACCAUGUCGAGAUGGACUUCAUUACUGGAUUUCCCAAAUCGCAAAAGGGUAAUGAUGCUAUUCUUGUCGUCAUUGACCGACUUUCUAAGGUUGCACAUUUUCUGGCGGUCAAAGAAACGAUCACUGCUAGUCAGCUUGCAACUCUCUACAUGUCCAGAAUUGUUUCGCUUCACGGUAUUCCACUGGUUAUCAGUUCAGACCGUGGCAGUUUAUUCACUUCAAGAUUCUGGGCAAGUUUCCAAGAAGCUAUGGGCACUCAUCUGUCUUUCAGCACUGCGUUUCAUCGGCAGUCACAAGGGCAAGUUGAACGUGUCAACCAAGUUCUCGAAGACAUGCUUCGAGCUUGUGUUAUUUCCUUCGGCAAGAAAUGGGAGGAAUCUCUCCCGUAUGCUGAGUUCUCUUAUAAUAAUAGCUAUCAAGCUAGUCUGAAGAUGGCCCCCUUCGAAGUGUUAUAUGGACGAAAGUGCCGAACCCCUCUGAACUGGUCAGAAACUGGGGAACGUCCACUCUUCGGUCCGGAUAUUAUCCAACAUGCCGAAGAGCAAGUCCGCAUUAUUCGCGAGAAUCUCAAGACUGCUCAGUCACGCCAAAAGAGUAAUUAUGACCGUCAUCAUAAAGACAUGGUCUAUCAACCUGGCGAAAAGGCCUAUCUUCGAGUUACACCAAUGAAGGGUGCUCACCGCUUCGGGAUCAAGGGCAAGCUAGCUCCUCGCUAUAUUGGCCCAUUCACUAUUCUCGAGAGGCGUGGAAAGGUGGCAUAUCAACUGGAGCUUCCGCCGAACCUUUCUCAGGUUCACGAUGUGUUCCAUGUAUCACAGCUCCGCCGUUGCUUCAAGGACCCGAUCCGAGGAGUGGAUCAUGAAGUGCUCGAAUUGCAACAGGACCUCUCCUAUAAAGAGCAUCCGGUCCGCAUUCUCUACCAAGCUGAACGCCGCACACGCCAGAAGGCGAUCAAGUUCCUCAAAGUUCAGUGGUCGCACCAUUCUGAAGAUGAAGCCACUUGGGAACGUGAGGAUCGCCUGCGUGAUGAAUACCCCACACUGUUUCCUUCUACCUCCUAA
rnacentral:rRNA from 1 species